UACGAGGGGGGCAAGUGUUGUUCGGAAUUACUGGGCGUAAAGGGAGCGUAGGCGGGCUCUUAAGUUGGAUGUUUAAAACCGGGGCCUAACCCCGGCGUGGCAUCCAAAACUGGGAGUCUUGAAUGGGACAGAGGCCAGUGGAAUUAGAGGUGUAGCGGUGGAAUGCGUAGAUAUCUCUAAGAAUACCAGUUGCGAAGGCGGCUGGCUGGGUCCACAUUGACGCUGAGGCUCGAAAGCGUGGGGAGCAAACAGG
rnacentral:rRNA from 1 species